rfam:Desulfitibacter sp. BRH_c19 BRHa_1004054, whole genome shotgun sequence.
UAGCGAUUCUAAAAAGCUUGAUGAACAGUCAGCCAUUGAAGCUACAGCCUCCAUUAUGAUGUCUGCAAUGAGUGGGGCUAAUCUUAUUCAUGAUGUUG